GAUAUGGGGAGGGAGUGUACAGGUGUGAGAGGAUAAUACGUGUGGACUGAGUUGCUGCAGGUUCAGCCCCUUUAGUGGAGGAAGGAAAGCGAAGGAGGAGAGCAGGAAAGACAUGAAAACAGACCUUCAGUUUUCUAGCUAAGGGGAACCUAAUCAAUGGGAAAAGCCACUCCAAAGCAAGCUGUGUUUCAAUCAUAGAGACCCAGAUGCCUCCUGCUGGUCUGAAAUUUCUGCUAAAUAGACAUUGUCUUCUUCUUGUCAAAUCAUCUGCUCCCAAAAAGCCACAUUGUAGUGACUGUAUUUAUCAUGUCUUCCAUAAGUUUUUGUAGUUAAUUAAAGAGUUUAAAUUUCAUGGAGGGCUGACUUCUAUUCCAGGAAAAGUAUACUAUAUAAAUGUAUUCCCAAACUCUUUCUCCUAAAGAAAAUAAAAUACUGAAUAUGUGACAUUACAAAAAUCCUGCCACUAACUGUGGUCACUAUAAAUCACAUCACUAUUUUUCUCCCAGUUUCACUGUCUACGAAAUGUGUGCAAGUCCCCUGAUUGAAAGGCUGUCCACUGUCAUAAGGUUAAGGAUACAGCAUUACUGCAUGAUGCAGUAAAGUGUGCAGAUGUGGUUUUGAUCCCGUGUUGCCAUGGCUGGGGUACAUCUCUGAGGCAAUCUGUAACCCAGGAACUUCCAUAUGCCAUGCAGUGGCAGUAAAAACAAAACUAAACCAAACAAUCAUGCUAUUUUCAAGGACAGAGUCCAAUGAUUCCUCCGGCCUAUUUUAAAACCCAUCCCAAUUCCCAAUACUUCUUGAAAUGUACCAAGACCAUUUUAUCUCCAACAUAUUUACAUACCCUGCUACUACUCACCAUCUAUUCUGCUUGAUAUUUUAACUUUUCGUGUGAUUACAUAUACAUAAUAUUUAUCCUUUGAAUAAUUUUUAAGUAUACAGCUCCAUAGCAUUUUUCACUUCCACACUGUUUUGAACCCAUCAAUACUGCCCACACCCACACCUUUGUCAUCAUAAUCAACAAGAUAUCUACACCCAUUAGGUCACAAUUCAUCUUCAUCUUGCCUCCAGGCCUUGGUGAUUUCUACUUCUGCUAUAUGAAUUUGCCUAUACAAGUGGAAUUACAUGAUAUUUGUCUUGCUGUGCCUGCUUUAUUUCACUAACCACAAUAUAUUUUUGUAUUAUUCGGUCCACUUAUACUCUAGUAUAUUUCAAAGCUUUAACUCCACUCUAUGGUUUAAGAGUAUUCCAUUCUGAGUAUCUUUCACACUUUAUUUUUCCAGUCAUCUCAUUCAUCAUCACAUUAUUCACAGCCUUUUGGGUACAGCCCAUUUUUGACUCUUGGGAGAAAUACUCCAGGGAGCAUUAGGGUAUAGAUCUGUCUGCAGUAUAAUGGUGACAAGUAAUAUUGUGCAUUUGUCAAAUAGCAGAGUUUUUGUAAGAGAACCAAGUAUGAAUCUUAAUGCAAACUAUGGACUUUUCAUUAAUAAAAAUGUAUCCAUAUUGUUUUUCUAAUUGUAAUAAAGGUACCACCAGCAUGUUAUAUGUUAUCAAUGGCUAAAACUGGAGCGAUAGGAUAGAGGAACUUUCUGUGUUGUCUGCACAACUUCUUUGUCAAUAUAAUCCAGUUCUAAACAAUGUACAAUAAUUGAAAGAAAUCUGAAAACAUAUUUUCACUGAUGGAGGCACAUUAGCUAAUGUCCAAAAACCAGCUAGCAUCUACACCCUAGCUAGAGAUCAUAUUCACUCUUAAACAUCAACCAGCUGUUGAGAUUUCAAUGUAUUUUUAUUUCCACAGUGAUAACAGUACCAACUGAUUAAACAGGACUCAACUUGGACGCACACAUACAAAAAAGACAUCACAUAAUUUUUCAUAGUACGUUCUUAAAUAGAGGACACUAAAGAAAAAUUAUUUUUGCAGGAACUUAAUGAGAAAAUCUAAACAGUACAUUCAACUGACUCAAUUGUAGGGUGCACCUACUUGUGGUGCAGGAGUGUACGUUUUUGCGUCAACCAGAGUUUCAUCCUUGUGACCUCGGAGGCUGGCUACUUUUAAUCUGGAAGCAGGAUCCUACAAAAUGUAUUACCACAGAGAGAACUGUUGACAACUUGCUGUCAGAAAAUAGGGAAAUUAGUACUCAUUAAUUCCAUUUAAUCAUUUGGUCCCCUGGCUCACCAGCUGCCCAAAAGAGCUUCCUGGAUCAAAACAGUCAUAGAAGAUUGAGCAGUUUAAAACAACUAAUAGACAGGAUUUACGAACAAAUACCUUUGUUUAACUGAGACCUUCUAGAAACACAGGAAAGCACAGUGAUUGUGCCUAAUGGUCUGGUUCAAACACAUUUAGAAGAAUCAUGAACUUGGGAAAGGGUUGUAGAUCCCUAGGUGCCUCAAUGCCCUGUCCUAAGAUGUAGAAAUGGUAAUCUGGCCAACUUUUAGUAUUACGUCAUGAGGACCACUUCAGGCAGUACGGGUAACAUUUUAGAAAAUUGAAGGAUGGGUGCUCCAUCAAUGCUCCGUAUGUGUUCAGCCUUGAGUGAUGGCAAGAGUAAGCUAGACAUUCAGUGGUGGUUGAAACCAGAGAGGGUAAAUGGAUGCCUCAGGUCAGGAAGGGUGGAAGCUUAUGCCCCAGCAUCUUCAUGGGAAUGAUGCUUCGCAGCUCAUGGACAGCAUCUAUUUUCACCUCCUCUGAUACCCAGUCCAGUUGAAGGGGAGGAAGUGCAAACAGGGGUUAUAACCCACAGAGUACAGUGGGGGGCACUUACAUCUAGAGGGAUGAAGUGACUUUCCAAGAGUCACAACAAUGUUCAGUGACAGAUAUGUGGCAGGAAUGGACCUGGUUUCCUGAGGACAGAAAUCCUUGCCCAGGGUUCUGAGAUCAUGCCCUGGACACCUGAAUCAGGAGCUCCCCUCAGUCUCUCUCAACCCCUCCUGCCCCAUGGUUUCUG
ensembl:lncRNA